UCCAGAGGACAGGGAAGCUAACAUUCCUCCCCUAGAGACUGUACCAAGAGAUCUGACAAAGCUCCAAGAGGGGAGACUGACAGGCUCAAAACCAAAACCAAAAAAAAAAAUGAGAGGAGCAAGAGCACAGACAAAUACAGGGAGCAAAGAAGGGGUAAACCUGAGCAAACAACAGAAAAAGAAGAAAGAAAUUACAAUAGACAGCUUUUGCACAGGUAAUGAACAAAGAGCGAAUGAAACAGAGGGGGAGGGCUGAGCAAAGGAAAAAUCAGAAACCCCAGUGAAUUGGAUACAGGCUUUGGAAGAACUCAAAAUGCAAUUCAAAAGACAAUUAAGAGAGGCUGAAGACAAUUUGGAAAAGAACUUAAAAACGUAGAUAAAUCAUCUGGAAAGAGGCACUUGAACUAAAACAAGAAAAUGGUAUCUUGAAAGCCAAAAUCAACCAGCUGGAAAAUGAGGCAAAGGAGAUGAAAAAUGAGGUGAAGAAGAUGAAAGAUGAGAAAAAGGAGAUGAAAGAUGAGGUAAAGAGGAUGAAAGAUGAGGUGAAGAAGAUGAAAGACGAUCUUCAAAGAAAAUCAGACCAGAAUGAAAAGGAUGACCAAAAAGCCAGAGAUGAAAUCCAAUCUUUAAGAACCAGAAUACAACAAUUGGAAUUAAGUGACAUCAUAAGGCAGCAGGACACUAUAAAACAAAACAAAAAGAAUGAAAAAAUUGAGGAAAAUGUGAAGCAUCUCAUUCACAAAAUAGAUGAUUUAGAAAAUCGUUAAAGAAGAGACAAUUUAAGAAUCAUUGGACUACCAGAAGACCACGACAAAAGAAAAAGCCUGGACAUAAUACUAGAGGAAAUUAUCCAGGAAAACUGUCCCGAGAUCCUAGAACAAGAGGUGAAAGUGGAGAUUGAAAGAAUCCACAGAUCACCCCCUGUAUUUAAUCCCCAACUGACAACACCAAGAAAUGUUAUAGCCAAAUUCAAAAACAAUCAGGUGAAAGAAAAGAUAUUACAAGCUGCCAAGAAGAAGCCAUUCAGAUACCAUGGAAACACGGUGAGAUUAACACAGGAUCUGGCUUCAUCCACACUGAAGGACGAAAAGGCAUGGAAUACGAUAUUCUAGAAAGCAAGGGAACUAGGUCUACAACCAAGAAUAAAAUACCCAGCAAAACUGAUUAUAUUCUUACG
rnacentral:lncRNA from 1 species